rnacentral:lncRNA from 1 species
AGGAAAUCACCGUUAAAUUUUCACACAAUCAUGUUCUAUCCUAACUUUCUUACUUGUCACAUCAAUUUCCCAAACCAAUAAGACACUUUAACAGGACUAUAACUUUCUAAUUUGUAUUCCAGUUGAUAAAGUUUGGGUGUCUCCUCUAAAUCUCACGUUCAGAUACAAUCCUCGGUGUUGGAGUUGGGGCCUAGUGGGAGGUGUGUGAAUCAUGGGGGCAUAAUCCCUCAUGAAUGGCCUACCAACAUUUCCUUGGUGAUGAGUGAGUUUACACAAGAUCUAGUUGUUUAAAAAUGUGUGGUACAUCCCCCCUUCUCUCUUGCUCCAGCUCUGGCCAUGUGACAUACCUCCUCCCGCUUCACCUUUCACCAUGCAUGAAAGCUCCCUGAGGCCGACUCUGAAGCUGAGCAGUUGCUACUGAUAGCACCAUGCUUGUACAACCGGCAGAACCAAACCCCCAGAAAGACUCUGGCUCCUUUGCUUCUAUCUUUUUCCACCGGAGAAAAGCCUAGUCCUCUGGGGUCCUCUGUGACAUUUGGCAACUCCGCUCUGUUGGACCUAGUUUUGAUCUUGUGAAACAACUGCAACAGAAACACAUGAAUGUUCUUCUAAAAAAUACAUUUCAAUCUCCACUUCAACUUACUGGAUCAAUAUACAUAGGU